CAAGGAAGGCAGCAGGCGCGCAAAUUACCCACUCCCGGCACGGGGAGGUAGUGACGAAAAAUAACGAUACGGGACUCAUCCGAGGCCCCGUAAUCGGAAUGAGUACACUUUAAAUCCUUUAACGAGGAUCAAUUGGAGGGCAAGUCUGGUGCCAGCAGCCGCGGUAAUUCCAGCUCCAAUAGCGUAUAUUAAAGUUGUUGCGGUUAAAAAGCUCGUAGUCGAAGCUGUGUCUUGCGCCGCCGGUACAUCGCUCGCGGUGUUUACUGGCGUGUCGCAGGACGUCCUGCCGGUGGACUUAGCCCUUUCGGGGGCGGUCCAACUUCAGCAAUCCCAUCGCGGUGCUCUUCACUGAGUGUCGAGGUGGGCCGGCACGUUUACUUUGAACAAAUUAGAGUGCUUAAAGCAGGCCAAAAAUUUGCCUGAAUACUGUGUGCAUGGAAUAAUAGAAUAGGACCUCGGUUCUAUUUUGUUGGUUUUCGGAACCCCGAGGUAAUGAUUAAUAGGAACGGAUGGGGGCAUUCGUAUUGCGACGUUAGAGGUGAAAUUCUUGGAUCGUCGCAAGACGGACCUAAGCGAAAGCAUUUGCCAAAAACGUUUUCAUUGAUCAAGAACGAAAGUUAGAGGUUCGAAGGCGAUCAGAUACCGCCCUAGUUCUAACCAUAAACGAUGCCAGCUAGCGAUCCGCCGACGUUCCUCCGAUGACUCGGCGGGCAGCUUCCGGGAAACCAAAGCUUUUGGGUUCCGGGGGAAU
rnacentral:rRNA from 1 species